rnacentral:rRNA from 1 species
GAUGAACGCUGGCGGCGUGCCUAAUACAUGCAAGUCGAGCGAACAGACGAGGAGCUUGCUCCUCUGACGUUAGCGGCGGACGGGUGAGUAACACGUGGAUAACCUACCUAUAAGACUGGGAUAACUUCGGGAAACCGGAGCUAAUACCGGAUAAUAUAUUGAACCGCAUGGUUCAAUAGUGAAAGACGGUUUUGCUGUCACUUAUAGAUGGAUCCGCGCCGCAUUAGCUAGUUGGUAAGGUAACGGCUUACCAAGGCAACGAUGCGUAGCCGACCUGAGAGGGUGGUCGGCCACACUGGAACUGAGACACGGUCCAGACUCCUACGGGAGGCAGCAGUAGGGAAUCUUCCGCAAUGGGCGAAAGCUUGACGGAGCAACGCCGCGUGAGUGAUGAAGGUCUUCGGAUCGUAAAACUCUGUUAUUAGGGAAGAACAAAUGUGUAAGUAACUAUGCACGUCUUGACGGUACCUAAUCAGAAAGCCACGGCUAACUACGUG